rnacentral:lncRNA from 1 species
GUCUCAUCAGCUUAACUCACCCAUCUUCCUUCAUACUCAAUUAAUUUUGGUUUUCUCUCCAUCUUUAAGAGACCACAGCUUCCCUACGAGGAAGUGGUACCACCGGAGCAGGAAUAAAAUCAGGCACAGCUGCAGUUCCCUCUGGUACAACAGUUGCCCCUGGGAGCUCCAACUCAGGUAAAGCACCAGGCUAGGAGGAACCACUGCUUUGGAAGGGCUCCUCAGUGAGUUGUCUGCCUGGGUGAUCUUACCAUACUCUUCUCAGAUUCUUCAAAUCUUUGUCCUCACUGUUAUUCCUCUUCUCUCAUUUGCAGAAGCUACAACUUCUGUAGGAGAAAAUGGAAAAACAAGUGGCGAAAUAAUCACAGGUACUACUGAGGGCACCUCUGGCAAAGUUCUGGAACCUGGAAGUGCUCACACAGAGGCCACAACUUUCCCAGGAGGCAGCGGGACCACCCGAGCAGAACCACCAGGAGGUACCACUGGAGAAUUGUCUGGAACGACCAUUAUAUCUGGAAGUUCUAACACAGAGGCCACAACUUCCACAAAAGGGACUGGUACUUCUGGAACUGGCUUCAAAACUGUAGCCACAAUUUCUCCUGGAGCAAGUAGAACCACUGGGGCUGGACCUGCUGAAGAAACCACAAUUUCCCUAGGAGGAGGUGGUACCACUGGAGCAGAAAUAAAAUCAGGCACAGCUGGAGUGCCCUCUGUGACAACAGUUGCCCCUGGAAGCUCUAACUCAGAGGCCAUGACUGCUUUAAGAGAAAGUGGAAAAACAAGAGCUGAAAUAACCACAGGUACUACUGAGGGCAAAACUCUGGCAGCUGGAAGUACCCACACAGGUCAGGAAUUCUGA